GCUAAGCACCAUCUUUCUCUCUACAGCCACCAUCCUGUCAUAUGAACGCCAGGUCCUCUGUUCUCAACCUUGAGAUCCUCAUCUCUCAGUCAGUCAAGAGGUAUAGCUCCAUUGCAGGAAGUGUCUGAGGGGACACCGGUGAGAAGAUCAAGGCAAGCCUCAAUGGGAAAGCAGCUUCAGAGGCCUCUGGGGCAAAGGGAGUAGCAGAGAGCUGGCUACUGGAAAGGCUCUAGGAUUGAUGCAGUCGAAGAGCAAAGAAGGGGGUGCAGCAGAGAUGUGUAACUUCUGACCACCUGGCUGGACCUUUACCACGAUAAGGAGGCCUCAGGUUCCCUGUCUCUGAUGGCCCACAUCUGCUCCUGAGACUGCACGGGAACCAGAGUACAGGGAGCCGGGCCCUUCUCAACUCCCCCUCCCCACUUGGAGGCCCAAGGAAGGGCGGAGUGGGCAGGCA